rnacentral:lncRNA from 1 species
GCCUACAGUGCUAAAGAUACUUUGUUGUUAUUCUUAGAAUCUGUAAACAAAAUGACUGAAGUGUCAUUGAAACUGCAGUGCUAAAGAUACUGUGUCGUUAUUUUUGGUAUCUGUGAACAACAUGAGAAGAGUUAUAUUGAAACUACAGUGCUAAAGAUACUUUGUUGAUAUUCUUGGAACGUAAUCUGUGAACAAAAUGAGAGGAGUAUUAUAGAAACUGCAGUGCUAAAAAUAUUUUGGUGUUAUUCUGUGAACAAGAUAAAAGGACUAUUCUUAAAAAUGUAAUUUUAAAGUUACGUUGAUGGUAUUCUCCGUAUCUGUGAUCAGUAUGAGAGGGAUUUGCCUAGAAACUGCAGCGCUAAAGAUAGUUUGUUUUUAUUUUUGCUAUCUGUGAACAGGAUAAGAACAGCGUGCUUUGGAGGAAUAAUAAAGAU